rnacentral:rRNA from 1 species
UGGGGAAUAUUGGACAAUGGGGGGAACCCUGAUCCAGCCAUGCCGCGUGUGUGAACAAGGUCUUCGGAUUGUAAAGCACUUUAAGUUGGGAGGAAGGGCAGUAAGCGAAUACCUUGCUGUUUUGACGUUACCGACAGAAUAAGCACCGGCUAACUCUGUGCCAGCAGCCGCGGUAAUACAGAGGGUGCAAGCGUUAAUCGGAAUUACUGGGCGUAAAGCGCGCGUAGGUGGUUCGUUAAGUUGAAUGUGAAAGCCCCGGGCUCAACCUGGGAACUGCAUCCAAAACUGGCGAGCUAGAGUAGGGCAGAGGGUGGUGGAAUUUCCUGUGUAGCGGUGAAAUGCGUAGAUAUAGGAAGGAACACCAGUGGCGAAGGCGACCACCUGGGCUCAUACUGACACUGAGGUGCGAAAGCGUGGGGAGCAAACAGG